CCCCCCUCCCCAUUCCCUCUCUCUCCCCACCUUCCCUUCCGAUUGUAUUUGACAGACGCCCACGCAGAGAGCGAGACGCACACAGAGAGACAGACAGACAGACAGACAGAGAGAGGGCUCCCAAUUCCGCCCGCGGCCUCCGUCGAUCGAUCCACCCAUCCGCCGAGAGUGGGAUCGGAGCGGCAGCUCCGCCCUCCCCUGCCGCGGCGGCCACCGACUGAUGCAAAAUGGUAACUGUACAUGGAUUUGCCAAUGGUACUAAUGAUGGCACCGCCAACAGGAAGAUCAAGCGCCUUUUUAACUCAUCAGAGAGGAAGAACCCCACCAAUUUCCAAUUUGAGCGUCAUGUAGCUCGUCUUGAAUCUAGACAGCAGCAGCAACCCAGGCGGUGUAUCUUCACGACGAUCUUACCAAUUGAGUUCUUCCACACCUCAUCUGAACCUACAUCUCCAGAAGAUAGCCUUGGCCCGUCAUCCUCCUCGCCAUCAAUUAUUUUCUUGCAUUUUAGUGUGGCAGAUGAACCUCUCAGAAAAUAUUCAUCUAAUCAAAGGCUGCUGGCAGAGCGAUCCACAUCAUCCAAUAGUAUGUCCAAUUCAGGUUUCUCAGACAAUACCUCUACCAAGACAAGGGUGGAUGCAAGGCAUACUACAAGAAGGAAGAGCAAAAAGAAAAACAAGAAGCAGAAGAAACACUUCAGAAAGCCAGCUGAUGGAUCUGAAAUUACAUGCGCAGAGAGCAACGGCUCUACCCCUUCAGUCGAUAUGGUUGAUUCUUGUGAAGGUUCGACACUUUCACCUAAGCAUGUUGGUGAUAUACUGUUUGAGGAAACCUUUUCUCCUAGUUCUUCGGUGAAAGAAGCCUCUGAAAAGGCUCCUGACAGUGAAAAUGAUAAUGAGUACAAUGGCUGUUCAGUUGCUUCUGUUUCAAGCGCGUCUUACUCUGAUGAGACAGAACUGUCUAGACCAACUACAUCAGGCCUGGAAUUGUUUGGACAAUGUAACAGCAGUGACUGCAGGUGCUUGGAUGAUACUCCAAAUUGUGACCUGAUGGAUUCAUCUCAAGAGCUUCAUUAUGCCAGCAGGAGUGGGAACUGUAGUGAUAUGACCAAGACACUGUUCAGAAAUGAUUGUGUACAUGAUCCAUGUGAAACAGCAGAAUUUUGCAGCUCUAGUGAUGGAGUUGAUGAUAGUUGGCUAGAGAAUUCCAACUGCAGUAGUAGCUUUUGUUCUGAAAAUGGUAGCAGAGGCAGUGAUUUUCAUCUAGUAAUUUCGAGAAAGAGAGCUAGAAAAGAGAGGAAAAUGUCAAUGUGGAAGAGCUUUACUGGGGAGCAUGCAUCUGCUGUUACGCAUGGUCCAAAUGAAAAAUAUACUGGCCGCUCUUCUAGGCAGAUGAUUAAGGAACUCAACACUAAGGAGUGGUCACAUAGACCAGAUCAUGUUGGUAGCAUACAGCCUCAGCAUGGGGUUGCGUUGAAACGCUCCAUCAAGAAUUUCAUCCAUAGGAGGAGUAACGAAGUUCCACUUAAGGACUUUGAAUCAGGAGCAAGUCACAAUCAUUUUACAAGUCCACAAGAAAACAUCAAUAGCAAAUCAAAUGGUGAUUUUGACAAAGAGCAGAACAUUGAUUUAAACAAAAGGCUACCCAAUGCUGUGUACUGCAGUGAGUCAAGUUCUUGUGAGAUGUUAUCAAAUUCAGCUUCUGAACCUACAACUUCCGAGUCUGCGCAGGACAACUGUACUUCAGAAUCUGGUGAAUCAACAGAUCAUAUUGUAGGAGAUUUUCCCAUGCGGAAAACAGGAUUACAAGGUUCAUUCCAAGCCAAUGAUGUUACCGGGACAGGUUCUGGACCACCAUCACCUGAUCUGAAGUCCACUCAGACUGACUUAGUGAUUGGAUGUGGUGUAACUCCUUUUGUUGAAGGGAAUCACAGAUUAGGAAAGUUUUGCAGUUCUGAAAUGCAUCUAAUUGAGAUGAUCAAGGUUGUUAAUGAUGCCUAUGAGGUGCAAGUUGCUGCAGAUGCCUACAUGUCUGCUGGUUAUCCGAUUACUGAUCUCGAGACAUUUAUAUACUCUGCAACUCCAGUCAUUGGUCAUGUUCCUUGUGUGAAAAACAGAAACUGUUCACAGGAUCAAGUUGUCAGGAACUCAGCUUAUCAGCAGUACAUGUCUAAUAUUAACCUAAGGAAUAUAUGGGAAUGGUAUGAAGAGCCAGGGUGCUAUGGGUUGGAAGUAAGAGAUCUCAAUGAUCUCAGUUCCUUGACAUCACACCACAAGAGUUCAGAGUUCUGUGCAUAUUUUGUACCUUACCUGUCUGCUAUUCAGUUGUUUGGGUGGUCUACGAAGAAUAUGGAUAAUGGUUUUGAUGUACAAGAGGGACAUUUGUUGGGGGCAUCGAAUACCACAAGCGUUUUGAGUUCUCAACCCGUGCCUGCGAAACUGCAUAAACCAUUUGAGCAAAGUAACACAUCCUUUUCAGAAUCAUCUUCCUCUGCGCAUGCUCAUGGAGAACUCAUUUUUGAAUACUUCGAAACAGAGCAGCCUUCUUUUCGACCUCCGUUGUUUGAAAAAAUCAAGGAGCUUAGCUGCCUAAAUGUAUCUGGUGACUCUGAAAAGCUACAAAGUGCGAAAUUGCGUGAUCUGCAUCCGGCUUCUUGGUACUGUGUUGCUUGGUAUCCUGUUUAUCGCGUACCUCAUGGGAACUUCCGUGCAUCAUUCUUGACAUACCAUUCACUGGGUAAACUGGUUCCACAAAUAUGCUCCCCAGAUUCUAGUGGUGGUCAGGACACCCGAAUUGUUUGCCCGGCUGUUGGUCUGCAGAGUUACAAUGACAAGGGUGAGCAAUGGUUUGAGCUGAGAUGUCGAGAUUCCUCGAAGCCCAGUGGCGCUGAAGUUGUGGAGGAGAGGCUGAGGACACUGAAGCGAGGUGCAUUCGCGAUGGCAAGGGCUGUCAUUCCUAGGGGAUCCGAGGAGUCGUCUGCGAACCACCAUCCAGAUUAUGAGUUUUUCCUGUCCCGGUCUACCUAAGACUAUGCUCCUUUGCCUGCUAUGCUAACGCGCCGCAAGAAUCCCAUGAAGAAAUUUACAAAAAAAUUAGAGCAUAAUAGAUAUGACAUUCCACUAACCAGUGGUCGGCAGUAGUUUACCCUAGAAAGAAGAGGAGAAGAGAAGGGAAGGGAGGGGAUACUAUAAGUGACAUUCUAACCUACUAGACACCUGAUGAUGCAAACAGGGUUGAGUUUUAGACCUUGAAUGUUGUACAAGUGUGCCAAGGGGAUCAAAGAGUUUGGCAACAUUUUCGUUUUACAGAUCAUGCAGGUAGGCAGGCAGGCUGGUUCUGCUUCUGCAGGUGCUUUUUUUGUACAGACAAAGAAAAAUGAGAGCAAGAUGAGAUUUGCUACUCAACCUUUUUCCAAUGUCGAUGAAAUGCGGAACUAGUAUUUCUCUCUACCUGGCUUUUCCUUGAUUAAUCAUAUCCAAGCAACAUUGGUAGGCAUUUGCAUUUGCUAGUUAGCCUUGUGUUGCUGCUACGGAUGAUCAAGUUGAAACCUCUUAUGUUUGCCUCUUGUCAAGGUUCUAAACGGUCAACAAGAUCACAAGUGUUUUUCUUUUGAGAAUGU
rnacentral:rRNA from 1 species